UUCUGAACCUGAGCCGGGUGGGUGCUGAGCAGCGCAUGGUGCAAGGCUCCAAGGAGACGGACUGGCCACCACGUGGGGAGUCAGCCAGCAGUGAGGAUCGGUGAUCUAACUGUGAAGUUAAUUCAGCUAAACAAAUGAGCACCAGCCACCAGCCCUCAGAACCCGGGCCUGGAAAGAAACAGUGCCUACAGGAUCCUUUGAUCUGGUUAUUUUGGGGAG